UUCACAAUGAAGUACUCACAGCUUUCCAGUUCAACAUCAGAAGGUUUCGGUGCACAGAUUUAUUUGGCAGUUGUUUGGCAUUUCGGGCAAGUACUCCAAACAUUGUUUAAGACUUUUAAAUUAUUUGAGUGACGUUUAACGGUGACUGGUGGCAUAAUUGCCGACAUUUUACAUGAAGAUACCACACGGCUUGACAAUCCACUAGAUAAAUAUGUAGCUGUGGUUGAAAUUGGCACAUUAUUUGUUUGCUUGUGGACAAUAUGUAUUUGUUUUAUUGUGGAAAGGUCUUCUGUUCUACUAUUAGCACAUUAUUGUACACAGGUUGAUCGCAUUUUGAAUCUACAAGACGCAGCACAGGCAAGAACUCACACAAAACGUUUCCUGAUAAUACUUACGGCCGUAACAUUGAUUCUUCUUAUUUAUACUCAUUACAUCUGGAUAUUUGUAACAGAAAACCCUCUUUAUACGGUAUUUUUUUCUGCUGGGUAUUACUUAUCGCAUAUUGUUGUUCUGGGAGUUAUUUCACUUUACUGGGUCAUAUGCGAUGGCAUCUCACGUCGUAUUUCUGAUCU